rnacentral:rRNA from 1 species
AUUGAACGCUGGCGGCAGGCUUAACACAUGCAAGUCGAGCGGGCGAGGUUGCUUCGGUAACUGAGCUAGCGGCGGACGGGUGAGUAAUGCUUAGGAAUCUGCCUAUUAGUGGGGGACAACAUUCCGAAAGGGAUGCUAAUACCGCAUACGUCCGACGGGAGAAAGCAGGGGCUCUUUAUGACCUUGCGCUAAGAGAUGAGCCUAAGUCGGACUAGCUAGUUGGUGGGGUAAAGGCCUACCAAGGCGACGAUCUGUAGCGGGUCGGAGAGGAUGAUCCGCCACACUGGGACUGAGACACGGCCCAGACUCCUACGGGAGGCAGCAGUGGGGAAUAUUGGACAAUGGGGGGAACCCUGAUCCAGCCAUGCCGCGUGUGUGAAGAAGGCCUUUUGGUUGUAAAGCACUUUAAGUGGGGAGGAGGCUUACCUGGUUAAUACCUGGGCUAAGUGGACGUUACCCACAGAAUAAGCACCGGCUAACUCUGUGCCAGCCGCCGCAGUAA